rnacentral:rRNA from 1 species
GUGGGGAAUAUUGGUCAAUGGGCGAGAGCCUGAACCAGCCAAGUAGCGUGCAGGAUGACGGCCCUACGGGUUGUAAACUGCUUUUAUGCGGGGAUAAAGUGAGGGACUUGUCCCUUUUUGCAGGUACCGCAUGAAUAAGGACCGGCUAAUUCCGUGCCAGCAGCCGCGGUAAUACGGAAGGUCCAGGCGUUAUCCGGAUUUAUUGGGUUUAAAGGGAGCGCAGGCCGGUGUGUAAGCGUGACGUCAAAUACAGCCGCUCAACGGUUGUCCGCGUCGCGAACUGCAUGCCUUGAGUACGCUGCAAGUGGGCGGAAUUCGUGGUGUAGCGGUGAAAUGCUUAGAUAUCACGAAGAACUCCGAUUGCGAAGGCAGCCCGCUGUUGCGUCACUGACGCUGAGGCUCGAAGGUGCGGGUAUCGAACAGG